CUCCUACGGGAGGCAGCAGUCGGGAAUAUUGCGCAAUGGGGGAAACCUGACGCAGCAACGCCGCGUGCAGGAAGAAGGUCUUCGGAUUGUAAACUGUUGUCGCAAGGGAAGAAGACAGUGACGGUACCUUGUGAGAAAGUCACGGCUAACUACGUGCCAGCAGCCGCGGUAAUACGUAGGUGACAAGCGUUGUCCGGAUUUACUGGGUGUAAAGGGCGCGUAGGCGGAUAUGCAAGUCAGUCGUGAAAUACCGGGGCUCAACCCCGGGGCUGCGAUUGAAACUGUAUACCUUGAGUAUCGGAGAGGAAAGCGGAAUUCCUAGUGUAGCGGUGGAAUGCGUAGAUAUCGGGAGGAACACCAGUGGCGAAGGCGGCCUACUGGGCACCAACUGACGCUGAGGCUCGAAAGUGUGGGUAGCAAACAGGAUUAGAUACCCUGGUAGUCCACACCGUAAACGAUGAUUACUAGGUGUUGGAGGAUUGACCCCUUCAGUGCCGCAGUUAACACAAUAAGUAAUCCACCUGGGGAGUACGACCGCAAGGUUGAAACUCAAAGGAAUUGACGGGGGCCCGCACAAGCAGUGGAGUAUGUGGUUUAAUUCGACGCAACGCGAAGAACCUUACCAAGUCUUGACAUCCCUUGACGAUGCUGGAAACAGCAUUUCUCUUCGGAGCAAGGAGACAGGUGGUGCAUGGUUGUCGUCAGCUCGUGUCGUGAGAUGUUGGGUUAAGUCCCGCAACGAGCGCAACCCUUAUGGUCAGUUACUACGCAAGAGGACUCUGGCCAGACUGCCGUUGAUAAAACGGAGGAAGGUGGGGAUGACGUCAAAUCAUCAUGCCCUUUAUGACUUGGGCUACACACGUACUACAAUGGCGUUAAACAAAGAGAAGCAAGACCGCGAGGUGGAGCAAAACUCAGAAACAACGUCCCAGUUCGGACUGCAGGCUGCAACUCGCCUGCACGAAGUCGGAAUUGCUAGUAAUCGUGGAUCAGCAUGCCACGGUGAAUACGUUCCCGGGCCUUGUACACACCGC
rnacentral:rRNA from 1 species